GAUUGGUCCAGGCAGUCACAUUAUUAGAAAAAUAGGAAGUACAGUUUGCAGUGAAAAUAGAACAAAACAGAACCUCAAUGUUAAUUUGUUAGAACAUCAGCCGUGUCUGCCCCUUUGGGACCCCCCUGGACAUCCCUCAGCCAGGGGCCACAUCGGCAUCAGCAAUGCCCUCUCCUGCAAGGAUCCAGAAACACCAAGCCUAGAAAACGGCUGCAGCAUGGUGGGGCUGUGGUGAAUGUAGCUCUAUCGGAGAUGGUACGCUCCAUGCAGUAUGGAAACUGCACAGUGUCUACAGUGAAUUGCAAGGGGUCCUUCCCAAUGUGACGGUCACUCUCUCGCUGCGACCCAAUGGCUCACCACUGCUGGAUGUCCUGGUCCAUCCUUGUGUGUCUUCACUGGAUGCCUCUGGCUCCUACAAGUUCCCCUUCUCCCAUUGAGUCUUUCAGGUCCCCGUGCCACCCAUCCUCCCUGUCAGCUGAAGGAGUAUGACAACCAGCUGCAUUUGACUGUGAGGAACAGCUCUGAGUACUGUGAGGCACAUCUGCCGUUCUUUAACAGCAACUGGACAACAGGAUUCUGGUGACCAGGUGUCAAUCUGUGAAACAGACAGCAUCCAACGUUAUGAACCCAAUGGUCAAAGUACUGUAACUGAAUGGUUUGUUUCUGCUGUUGUUCUUACAGUCUCGGUCUCUUCUAAGAUGAAAAAUGCUGUUUCUCAUCUGUUCUGAACACAGAUCAAUCCCUUUUUUGUGAAAGAAUGUGCCUUAUUAAAUAGAGAUAAUGGUUAUUUAACUGAAUUCUAGUAAAGAGUAGUACUACUGGAUACGGAUAUUGAAAUGUAAAAAAUGGUAUUGAUGCUGCCAUUUUUGGAACUUGUUUGACCAUCCCACUCCACAUCUCUUUAGAGUGUUGCCACCCUUAGCUCUGACAGUCCUACUUCAGUCCCACCCCUCCAUCAGCCGGAUAAUUAGCAGCUGGGGCCUUGUUGUCAGCUGGAGCUGAGGGCCUGUGGGAGACGGGGCUUGGGCUGUGAAAGGGUAAGCUGAUCUGGGCAGAGUCUGUCCCACAAAGGGCCCCUCUGGAGAACUGGCAGGACUCACUGGUUCCUCCCUGUGACUGCCCUGCCUGUCAGCCAGUGGUCUCUUCAAAUACCCAGCCUCUCCACUGAACCGCCCUCUAAAAAGUAGAGGCCCCAGCUGGCCAGAUGACUGGCUAAUUGGAGAAACUGGGUGUGGUGGCAUUAAAUAUUACAUGACAAAAAUAGGUUUAGCGUAGGGGUCCGGAUUCAGGUCUUAAUUGCAAUUUGAUUAGAGUAGAGCUCACCCAUGCAUGAGUGAGCCAGAUUCCUCUGAGUGCUCUAUUGUCCAGUACUGGCCUCUCUUGCCCUCUUGCUGGUGCAAUAGCCACAUUCUCACCAGGAUUUCCACCCAGGAGACUGACCAUGACCAAUCCUCUGUCAAUUGGAACCAAUUGCUAACAUGGCAUCUUUCACCUUUUUAUGUAGCAGUAUGGUAUGGCAGACACCAGGACCUCUGAGCCUUCCCUUUCUCCACAUUGAUUUGGCUUUAAGACCGUGUGUGUGUGUGUGUGUGUGUGUGUGUGUGUGUGUGUGUGUGUGUGUGUGUGUGUGUGUGUGUGUGUGUGUGUGUGUGUGUGUGUGUGUGUGUGUGUGUGUGUGUGUGUGUGUGUGUGUGUGUGUGUGUGUGUGUGUAGUGAACUGGUUAAGGGUAUGUUUAAAAAAAGUUGCUGACUGAUCUAAAGCUCUUUAGCAUAUAUGCCUAUUUGGGUAGCCCACAAUUUGUGCAGUGCAGGUAGCAAUAGGCCUCGCUGAUUAUUGGGAAGUGGCUGUCAGUGAAAGCAAUGCAUUUCAAAUAUGUGUGAAGAUAAUGUGUCUUGAGGGAAAUUUUAAAUGUUGAGACAAGAAGGGGAGGAGUGUGUGACAGACAUUUGGGACAUCUCUCUCCAGAAUGUGCUCAGCUCUCCAGAAUAUGUUGAGCUGUCUCCUGUCAAUUGUUUGCACUUUUAUUGUUUAUUUUUAUCAUUUCACCAGUAGUACAUUUACAGUUAACCCAAUCAUUUGGUUACGUACAUUUCUGUUAAUGCAUGGAUUAAUUAGGCAUACAGUAAUUUACUGUACUUAUUCUCUCAGUGGAAACAUUGUUUGCAGAGUUCACAACCUGCUCCACUUGUGAGAAACAAGUUUUGGUUGUCAUACCAUCAUUUCUGAGUGUUGUCAAUUGUUUCAUUGUGUUUUGUUUGGAGCGCUCCAUGUGAGCAACGAGCAUGUGUCUGAUUUCGCUGUCUUCUUAAUGUUGAUGGAGCGUGGGCGCCUGAGCACGCAGAGAAAUACUACUGGCCUGCUGCGGACAAAUGUAGGAAAGUGCCCAUUUGGGGAUGUCCGAUUUCUGAUUGUCUUAUUAGCUCACCGUGACUAGAGCUGUUGCGUUACCAGUCAUGAGUCAUGACUGCAGUAAAAUUCUACGUGACCAUUGAGUCAUGGUAAUCUCCUUUUAUGUACUCUGGACAUGUGUUAGUAGAACCCAACUCACUAAUGAUCAUCAGGUAGCUAAUGGCCUGGUACUCAUGGCUCUAUUGUCCCUCUAACCACUCUGACAUCAAUGCAAAUGUAAUUGAAAAUCACAUAAAACACUUAUCAAAACAGUAUCAUGCUUUUAAAACUCACCUCACUGUGAUUGGUCAAUUUGAAACUGAGUGGAAAACAUGGUCAUUGUGGAUGUUUCAAAGCCUAACACAACGAAAUGGACAGCACUUUCUAAGGUGAUGAUCAAUUAAAACACUCAUACAUAUAAGGACUUAUGCGUAUUCAGACCCCUUUGACCUUCUCCACAUUUUGUUACGUUCCAUUAAAUCCUUAGCAAUCUACACACAAUACACCACAAUGACAAAGUGAAAACAGGUUUUUAGAAUUUUUUGCAAAUGUAUAAAAUGUUCAAACAGAAAUACCUUAUUUACAUAAAUAUUCAGACCCUUUCUAUGAGACACGAAAUUGAGCUCAGGUGCACCCUGUUUCCAUUGAUCAUCCUUGAGAUGUUUCUACAACUUGAUUGGAGUCCACCUGUGGUAAAUUCAAUUGAUUGGACAUCAUUUGGAAAGGCACACACCUGUCUAUAUACAGUAAGGUCCCACAGUUGACAGUGCAUGUCAGAUCAAUAACCAAGCCAUGAGGUCAAAGGAAUUGUCCGUAGAGCUCCGAGACAGGAUUGUUUUGAGGCACAGAUCUGGGAAAUGGUACCAAAAAAUGUCUGCAUCAUUGAAGGUUCCCAAGAACACAGUGGCCUCCAUAAUUCUUCAAUGAAGAAGUUUGGUACCACCAAGACUCCUCCUAGAGCUGGCCGCCCCGCCAAACUGAGCAAUUGGGGGAGAAGGGCCUUGGUCAGGGAGGUGAUCAAGAGCCCGAUAGUCACUCUGACAGAGCUCUAGAGUUCCUCUGUGGAGAUGGGAGAACCUUCCAGAAGGACAAACAUCUCUGCAGCACUCCACCAAUCAGGCCUUUUACUCUUCAGUAAAAGGCAAAUGACAGCCCACUUGGUUUGCCAAAAGACACCUAAAGACUGUCAGACUAUGAUAAACAAGAUUCUCUGGUCUGAUGAAACCAAAAUUGAACUCUUUGGCCUGAAUGCCAAGCAUCAUAUCUGGAGGAAACCUGGCACCAUCCCUACGGUGAAGCAUGGUUGUGGCAGCAUCAUGCUGUGGAGAUGUUUCUCAGCGGCAGGGACUGGGAGACUAGUCAGGAUCGAGGAAAAGAUGAAUGGAGCAAAGUACAGAGAGAUCCUUGAUGAGAACCUGCUCCAGAACGCUCAGGACCUCAGACUAGGGCGAAGGUUCACCCUCCAACAGGACAAUGACCCUAAGCACACAGCCAGGACAACAGCUGAGUGGCUUCGGGACAAGUCUCUGAAUGUCCUUGAGUGGCCCAGCCAGAGCCCGGACUUAAUGCGGAUCAAACAUCUCUGGAGAGACCUGAAAAUAGCUGUGCAGCAACACUCCCCAUCCAACCUGACAGAGCUUGAGAGGAUCUGCAGAGAAGAAUGGGAGAAACUCCCCAAAUAAAGAUGUGCUAAACUUGUAGCAUCAUACCCAAGAAGACUCGAGGCUGUAAUCGCUGUCAAAGAUGCUUCAACAAAGUACUGAGUGAAGGGUCUGAAUACUUAUGUAAAUGUGAUAUUUCAGUUUUUAGUUUUUUUAUAAAGUUGCUAAAAUUUCUAAACUGUUUUUGCUUUGUCAUUAUGGGGUAUUGUGUGUAGAUUGAUGAGGGAAAUUUGAUUUAAUCCAUUUUAAAAUAAGGAUGUAACCUAACAAAAUGUAGAAAAAGUCAAGAGGCCUGAAUACUUUCCGAAGGCUGUGUAUGAGCCCAAGCCCAAAAACCCUGAAUUAAAAUGAUUGUACAAUACAUAGCCUACCACAGAAAAAUGUAAAUACUGAUUCAAGAUAUCUUUGGUACAUAAUUGGUCUCGCCUAAAUUAAACAAAUUCAGAGUUAACCUACAAUUACAGUGAAUUUGUAUUUGAUUUUGAAUAGCUUAGUAAUAUGGCAUUUGUUAUAUUUUCAUAAUUAAUAGACUGACACAUUACCUUUAGUUACUUAAUAAUAUCUCACCACCAUGGGUUUUCA